rnacentral:rRNA from 1 species
CCCUUAGAUGUUCUGGGCCGCACGCGCGCUACACUGAUGCAUUCAACGAGUCUAAAACCUGCUCUGAUAGGGGUGGGUAAUCUUUUGAAUGUGCAUCGUGAUUGGGAUAGAUGAUUGCAAUUUUUCAUCUUCAACGAGGAAUGCCUAGUAAACGCAAGUCAUCAGCUUGCAUUGAUUACGUCCCUGCCCUUUGUACACGCCGCCCGUCGCUCCUACCGAUUGAAUGAUCCGAUGAAUAUCAUGGAUUGAGGAUGCAAGUAGGUUAGCCUAUCUUCAUCUUCGAGAAGUGAAGUAAAUCUUAUCAUUUAGAGGAAGGAGAAGUCGUAACA